rnacentral:misc_RNA from 1 species
CAGUAAAUGAAUAUUUAUUGUAAUUGACUCAUUCACCAAACAUGGUGCAAAGUUAUGGACCUCUCUCUUUCAUAUGCACAAGUUGUACAAGACAUAUCUUAUGUCCUUAAAGCCAGUGCCAGUCAACUUAAAGCAAUUGUCUAUCAAAACCUAAUAACUAUGGCUAGAAACUGCAGCACAAUUAUAACACGUGCAAUUUGGAAUUCUAGUUAUACAUGCAAAAGAGGAAAUGCUAAAACUUGAACAAAUUUUUGUGAACCUUCAACACCAAUCGACAUGUCAAUGAAACCCUGUUUGCCGUCCGAUGAAUAACCUUAUGAUCUCUACUUCCCCCUAUUUGAACAGCCUUCCCAGGUUCUAACAAUGGCUGGUCAAAUUUAUGACUUACCAGAGGUUCUGCAUCAUUUAUGGCCCCAUCAUAUUGAUGCACCUCGCUAUCUUUUAUACCAUGCAGGUAGUCUGAAUAGGCAUUAUCCUUGAAUAUCAGUAGACUACGAGGCAUCAGCAAGACAGAAAAGGGAUGGUGAUUAUCCAUCUUUUUAUCUGUCUCAAUCUCUAAAGGUUCUUCACCAGAUCCUUCACUUUUAACAUCAUUGUCCCCUGAAUCUGUGCAUGUUCUUAACCUUGAAUGCGGAAUAAAGUCCAUGACAGUAGGCGAUCCAAGAGAGAGAAUAGCAACUACAGGAAAAUAAGCAGGCCCAUCCUGGUGUGGCAUUAUUCCCUGGUCAGGAAGGUACUCAUUGAUGAGAACAUGAUUGAUUGCUGAGGGGAACAACCCUGAUUCUUCAUAUAUUCUUUGCGUAAUCUUUGUUAGCCAAGGAGGCAAGUCCUGUGGUAGAAGACCCUUCUCAUGGACAACACCACCCCAAUUCUGAAGCCUCCUAUUCUUCAAAGAUUUCCACUUUGAUACAGGAGCGCCAUAUACC